GAUUAAGAGCAUGUCAAGAUAGCCAGGAUGACCUGCCUGCAACCAAAUGGAUAGGAUCCUUUUUUUUUUAAUUUACAAAUGGAGUAGGCAAGUCAUCCUUGGCUACUAAACAGUACUCUUUAAC
rfam:Nicotiana sylvestris Nsyl_contig143800, whole genome shotgun sequence.